CUCGGCCGGCUUGCGUUUAAUCGUUUGUGGAGCUGUUCUCUACCUUAUCCGAGACAACGAAUACACACCCAGAUACAUAUCGUAAUCUGAACAGUGUUUUAUUUUCUUUAUUUUAGAUUCUUCUUUUGAAAUAGUGUCUUUAUUUUGAACAAAUAAAGAAUUUUUGCCGAAAAUCGAAAGCGAAGAUUUACUUUAGAUUUAUAAAAACGAUGAGUUCAAAAUAAAUAUUUUUUAUGUAAAUCCAUGAGUUUUUUGUUUUGGUUUUACUUUUUGUCGGAUAAGCGCUGUCCUAUCAAAUAGGUAGUUACGUGUAUGUAAUGUUUGGAUUAUGCAGUGUAUCCAAACCUAAUGUUUUAGGCUAUAUUGACAAAUAUUUCAUAAUUCACGUUUCUAAUUGUGUAUUGACGGACUGAUUUAAAGCUAUUAGGCUAUCCCAGACGCUGUAGUGAGAACCCGUCGGUGUCCCGCCUUAGACUUUUAUUUGAGAAGACUGGUAAUAGUGGUGAAGUUUCAAACAUUGGUGUUAUUAGGAAUUACUUUACGGGAAAGGACGGCAGCUGAUAAACCGGACAUUGCCGCUUUAAAUGCUGCCCCGGGUCAUUCGAAAUGCACCAGACCCAGAUGCCUGGCUGAAGCACGGAGAAAAGAAAACAGCUGAGUGUAUCAGACAAAACUCAAGUGGGAAUGCGUUGGUAAUGAUAAUCGAGCCAGAAAGAGUGAUGAAGCCUUUGACAGGAAGCUGUCAAAUGAAGGAUACUGUCAUCCUCCAAUCAAAAACUGUGGCAGACUGUAUGGAGUGGGUGGUACCCCUGCAGAGAUUAAGACAUGUAUGCAGGAGGCAUAGAUGAGUGUGUGUGUCCUCCAAAACGCACUCUCAGCCAACUCCGCUCCUCUUCUGUACAACAAACUACUGCACCAGAGGACUGAGGCAGAUGGGUUGCGUUUGGUCGUCCAGAGGAGCUGCUCGUGACCGCUGAGGACAGGUAGCCCUGCCGAAUGAAUCCCUCCCCCCCGGGUAACGCCACAAGCACCUGACCGUCGCCUGAGCAACAGCCUGGAUUCAA